rnacentral:rRNA from 1 species
ACGAACGCUGGCGGCAUGCCUAACACAUGCAAGUCGAACGAGACCUUCGGGUCUAGUGGCGCACGGGUGCGUAACGCGUGGGAACCUGCCCUUAGGUUCGGAAUAACUCCCCGAAAGGGGUGCUAAUACCGGAUAAUGUCUUCGGACCAAAGAUUUAUCGCCUUUGGAUGGGCCCGCGUUGGAUUAGCUAGUUGGUAGGGUAAAAGCCUACCAAGGCGACGAUCCAUAGCUGGUCUGAGAGGAUGAUCAGCCACACUGGGACUGAGACACGGCCCAGACUCCUACGGGAGGCAGCAGUGGGGAAUAUUGGACAAUGGGCGAAAGCCUGAUCCAGCAAUGCCGCGUGAGUGAUGAAGGCCUUAGGGUUGUAAAGCUCUUUUACCCGAGAUGAUAAUGACAGUACCGGGAGAAUAAGCUCCGGCUAACUCCGUG